GCAAGUAUGAUGUAAUGGUAGCAUGAUGGCUUCCAAAACCAUCCGUCAGGGUUCGAAUCCUUGUGCUUGUG
rnacentral:tRNA from 1 species